GUGUCAGCCACGGUCGGUGCUUAUUUCGUUAUAUAUCCAUCGUUCCCUUCUCCAUUCCCGACCCCACCCGCCACUCUUCUUCUCCGUUCCUUCUGCCCCCGAGCCGUUGCCUCCUCUUCUCCUCUCGCCAAACUUAGGGCUUCGCUUCCCCUCCUCCACCACCGAUCUCCCUGGCUGCUUCGUACUCGAGGCUGCGGAUCUCUUCCCACGCCCUUUUGGCGCUUGCGUGUUCGAUCCGGGCAUUGACCGUCGAUCCCUCUGCAUCUGCAGCGGCAGCUUCGAUCCAAACUCGAUCGGCGGGUUCGCCGGAUUUCGUACCCGCAGCAAUGGCAGAGAGAGGAGGCCGUCGGGUGGUUGCUCCAGGUCUGUCCGUAAUCAGGGGCCACAGAGAUGCUUCUUCACCAAGGCGACUUCUGGAACAAUCAUGGACAGCUCUACUUCUACAUCGUCAGGCAGGAGUUGGAAUAGUUGUAUGAGAUCUUAGAUUUAUCUGAAAGUACAUGGUAACUGUUUGAACUUUGCAUUAUGAGCACUUAAUUAUGAUUUUUUCCCCAUGAUAGAGCAAUAUCUAAAUUUGUUUUUCAUUCGUCCAUAAUUCCUAUUUAAUUAAACUGGACAUCGAACACAAUGUAGCUGAAUGCUAUAGCAGAUAUUGAUAGAUAGCUAGUCAAACAUGUAUUAUCUUACGUUUUUGAGUUGUUUUCAGCUUUUCUUGCGUCCUUGUUUUGUAUUUUAGGACCAUCCUUCUGUUUUGCAUGCCACAAAGUAUAUGAUGUAAUGAUCGCUGCUGGAAUGCUUUUUUUCCAUGAGCUACUUAUGCAAUUAUUGAGUGUUUUUAAUGCGCUCAUUUAAAGUGCUAUUUUCCUGGCUUUACCAUAUGCAUUAAUCUUAGUUGUCUCUUUGGAGGUGAUCCUUUGUGGUGUUUCUGAGAACUCAAUCAAUAAGAUUUCGCUAAAGGGCUUUUGGGAUCUCAUCUUAUUUGGGUCAUUGGAUCUUUUCCUGUCAUUAAGCUAUACCGAGGGCAGUAUAAGGACCACAGAAUCUUUUUAAAACAUUCUAGUGAACUGUUUUCAAGUUCCUCCCACCUAUCCUCAGCAUUAAUCCGAAUUCUCAUCCCUUAAUUGGUGCAUUUGUUUUCCAUGAUUCUGUACGUGUUCUUCAAUAUACCCCACUUUAGCAUACAGAGCUUUUACUGUUUUCUUGUGUCCUGUCAAUUUGAGAUGGCGCUACAUAGUGUCUCACUCUCUCUGACUGCUAAAGUGCCUUUAGUUGUAUAUGGGAAAUCCAUUUCAUGAAUGUUCAUACUAUAGUGACAUUGUUUUCCUUUUGGUUCAACCUUUGGUCUUUGAAUCUUUGUGUAUACUUGACAUGGCGUUCGCUUUCUCGUUUGUUGAUUUCUUCGUGUUGAACUGAAGCUAUUCUAUUCUAAGUGUUACUAGGUGGUUCAUAUAACUUGUAAAGUUUGAAGGACACUGGUUUUGUAGUGUUCAUCGCUGAUUUCUAACUUGUAACCUUCUGUGCCUAUAUAUCCUUCAAUAGCUGUUAAGCAUACAAUGUCUCCAAUCAUCACUAAAACCAUUUUAUAUGCUUUCUGCAUUAUAUUUGCUGGUCGAUUCAUAUAUUAUUACAAUUGAAUGGAAAUGGUUUUAUAUAGUGUUCUUAGACAUUUGGUUCCAACUAACCACCCUCCGUGCCUAAAUAUUUAUUAGUGACCAUAACCUAUGAUGUUUUUAAUCAUCACUGGAACCUCUUCAUAUGAUUUUCACAUUGUGUUCUCUACGCUUGCAUACUCCCAUAUUUCUUUAUUUUAUUUUAUCUUUACAUUUAUCCCCUCUCGACCCUGUAAUUUUGAUUGCUUUAGCAAGAAAAAGCCAUGUCUGUCUACGCUCAUAUAGGUACAAGUACCUUGACAAUACUUGCUAAAUCUAUUUAGCAAUUUUUACUCUCUCGUUAAAGUAAUUGGUGAAAGUCCGCUUGUCUCUUUUGAUCCUUACUGUUAUCUUCCGUAUACAGACUGCCUUACCAAUCAUCAAUAAAUCUUCCCAUUAUAAUAUUUGAAUGAACUGGUGCUGAACACAUCCCAACAAAGGAGUAUCUUUCUGAAACAUGUUCAUGUUAGCAGAUUUAUUGUGACCGUUUAACAUGUGGGUCUCAUCAUAGUUGAGUAGUUAGUACUGUGACCAUUAGCUUUGUCUUAACAAUUCUCUGUUAUCAUUCUAGUUAAACUGUGCACAUCUUGUAUGUAUCCAUUAUGCUUCGAGUAUGUUCUAAGAUGCCUGAACAUAUAAGAAGCCUGAAUGAUAUGUUUGCAUGCAGCAUACACAUUCUUAAUAUGUUUAGAAGAGUCCUUGUAAUUUUUGCAACAGUAUCUCUGAUUUGCCGCCUAUGGAUGCAUCAAUGUGAUAUCAAGAAGCACAUCAUGUCUUCAUCGAGUUUAAUUGAUUUGUGCUGUGGCCUUUGAGAGUGUUAUGACAACAAGCCCAUUCUGGAGAAAAAGGAAAAAAAAAUGAAUUUUCCAUAUGGAUCAAAGUAUUUAUAUGAAGAAUGCCUCCCCAAAGCUGAUUCAGACCCACCGUCGGCAUCCAUUAAGCAGAUGCGAAGGUUUGGCUCAAACAACAUUACAUGCUGAUGAGUCAGGUCAAGGUCAGGUUUGCACUUGCAUCAACCGAGGUAUCAAGUAUUAACCCAUCACCAAUUGUUUAUUUUAGAGUCGAUUUAACCUUGAUUAUAUAU